rnacentral:rRNA from 1 species
CGUAGGUGGCGAGCGUUGUCCGGAAUUACUGGGUGUAAAGGGAGUGUAGGCGGGAAGGCAAGUCAGAAGUGAAAUUAUGGGCUUAACCCAUAACCUGCUUUGAAACUGUUUCUUGAGUGAGGCAGAGGCAAGCGGAAUUUCUAGUGUAGCGGUGAAAUGCGUAGAUAUUAGGAGGAACACCAGUGGCGAAGGCGGCUUGCUGGGCCUUUACUGACGCUGAGGCUCGAAAGCGUGGGGAGCAAAACAGGAUU